GACGAACGCUGGCGGCGUGCUUAACACAUGCAAGUCUAGGAGAAAUUUUGCUUCGGUGAAAUGGAAACUGGCGAACGGGUGAGUAACGCGUAUGCAAUCUACCCUCAAUCCGGGGAUAACGCUUCCAACGAGGUGCUAAUACCCGAUGACGCAGCGGCACCGCAUGGUGACAGUUGUUAAAGUUUCGGCGAUUGAGGAUGAGCAUGCGUCCCAUUAGGUAGUUGGUGAGGUAACGGCCCACCAAGCCUGCGAUGGGUAGCUGGUCUGAGAGGAUGAUCAGCCACACUGGGACUGAGACACGGCCCAGACUCCUACGGGUGGCAG
rnacentral:rRNA from 1 species